rnacentral:rRNA from 1 species
GACGAACGCUGGCGGCGUGCUUAACACAUGCAAGUCGAACGGAAAGGCCCUGCUUUUGUGGGGUGCUCGAGUGGCGAACGGGUGAGUAACACGUGAGUAACCUGCCCUUGACUUUGGGAUAACUUCAGGAAAAUGGGGCUAAUACCGGAUAGGAGCUCCUGCUGCAUGGUGGGGGUUGGAAAGUUUCGGCGGUUGGGGAUGGACUCGCGGCUUAUCAGCUUGUUGGUGGGGUAGUGGCUUACCAAGGCUUUGACGGGUAGCCGGCCUGAGAGGGUGGCCGGCCACAUUGGGCCUGCGAUACGGCCCAGACUCCUACGGGAGGCAGCAGUGGGGAAUAUUGCACAAUGGGCGGAAGCCUGAUGCAGCGGCGCCGCGUGCGGGAUGACGGCCUUCGGGUUGUAAACCGCUUUCGCCUGUGACGAAGCGUGAGUGACGGUAAUGGGUAAAGAAGCACCGGCUAACUACGUG